rnacentral:lncRNA from 1 species
CGCAACCACCCCCCAUAUUCGGCUGCAACAUAGAGAGGAGAGAGAGAGUUAGCAUGGAGGCAUGGAAGAAAGAAAGAAGAAGGAAGGAAAGCUUGGAUCUUGGAGGAAACAAAGAAAAAAUCAAGUAAAUGUAAUACCUAAAACAUCUGUGUGUAAUUUUCUUGUGAAAGUCUUGAAUUUAUGUUUAUAAACAUGCAUGGAAUAUACAUGUAGGAGUCUAAAUAUGUUGGAUCAUGGUUGAGAACACCAUUGAUCAUGGAGAAAUUUCAUUGGAGCAAAAGAAUGAACAAAGGA